CUCUCCAUUUCCUUUCCAUUUUCCUUUCCAUCCUCUAGUUUCAAGUUUAGUCAUCUCCACGAGUUCAAGCAAGGCCAAAGAAGAAGAAGAGAAGCCGUGAGCACUUCCAUCCAUAGCCAUCCUUGAAGCUUGCUUUCGAGUUUCAAGAAUCCACAACGUGAAUCAUCCAUCUCAUCUUCAUCCACGGUGUGUACCCUCAAUCCCCGGAAUAGAACGAUCCCUAUUUGCUUAUACUACUAACGAUCUUUUCAGGGUUAAAUUAUGCGCUUGCUUUGAGCGUAUCACAUGAUGUUACCCCCAAACCACAGGGGGGAAGCUUAAUGCUGCAUCUGAAGAAUGUUGCAAAUAAUACUCCGUCUCGUGAACAAGCCCAAACUAUUCUUAGCGGCCCGACUAAAAGCCUUUCCAAAAGUGUAAAACAAUGCUAACAGGCUGAAUGAACGCAAAACUGGCACAAGAUCCACCUGACACUGCAGUCCAACUCCUUCAUGAUCCCAUUGAUCCAGCGCCUACUUCUUCGUCGACCAUUGAAGCUUAAAAGGUUAUUUCAUUAGGAACUGAAAAUUUGCAUCAAGAGUAUCAUAGAUGAAGUUAAGGAACAUGUGUACACAAGAUACAACUAAAUUUUGCACUCUAAAUAACUUUUGUCCUAUAUCAUCUUAACAAAGAAAAGAAGUUACCUUUACAAA